CUCAUUUCUCAGCUAUAAACAGACAUAAAACCAAUAAUCUUGUUUAAAGUCAUACACUCAUAAAAUCAUGACUAUAAAAUCUGUUAUUGCAAAGAUGAUGUUAUUAUAUCAUAGCUUUACAUGAGCUGUAAAGCUGUAUUGUUGUUGAACUUUGUGUUUUAUGAUAAUGAGAAAUUAUUUUUUUCUGAUAUCUAUUUUUUCCCGCAGUUACCAGCUGAGUUCUGGUGAUGAAGGUCUACACUGCAAAUUAUGAUGUUAGCAGAUCUGCAGCGAUUUCUGGGUAAUGACUGGAAUCUGUGUCUGAAUUCACACCAACGCAAAUGGCACGGCCAACAGGAAGCAGAACCUGUCAGAACGGCACUGAAGCGUUUGACAGGGACCGCCUGAGCUGAGUUUGCAUUACAGAGCAGAACCCAGACAGUGGAACAUGGACAUCAGAUCUCACUUCAUCUCUUAUUCUAAGAGAAAAAAGCCAGAAACACUGACAGGCCAGGCAUUCGUUUUCAACCAGCUUUACGCUGCAGCACACCAGUCACGAUGAAGGAAACAGAGGCACGUGUCAGAAUUUAUUACACCAUUGGGACGAUUUACACGAUUCAUCUUCAAACUGUGCCCCUUUUGACAGCGACAUGACGAACCAAAGAGUGAAUAAAAUCUAUAAUCAUGCAAAAAAGUUGUUGUUCAAAGUAAUAGUUCACCCAAAAAUGAAAAUUAUGACAUCAUUUACUCACCCUCAAGUUGUUGAAAACCUGAAUAAAUUUCUUUGUUCUGUUCAACACAGGGUUCCCACACCUUAGUUAACUUCAAAUUCAAGGACCUUUCAAGGACUUUUCCAGGUCCAAUACCCUCAAAUUCAAGGACUAAAUGUGGGGAUUUUGUUACCUUUUAAGAUACAUUGUUACAGUUCCCUUUCGAGGGAACUCGCGCUGCAUCACUGCGGUGACACUUUGGGGACGCCUCCAGUGGUAAGUGCGUCUGAAUGUGUAUAUCAAAUUUAACC